CUUGAAACACGGACCAAGGAGUUUAACGUGUACGCAAGUCAUUGGGCAAACUAAACCCAAAGGCGAAAUGAAAGUAAAGAGUAGAAAAUUGUGGUAGAAUUUAAUUCUAUUUCACAAUUUCUCUCAAGGGAAGAUGGAAAUGUAUUAAAUUUAUUUAUAAAUUUAAUACAUUUCCCGCAUUCCCGGGGCGCUUGCUUCUCGCUUUGCGAGUUUAAGCGCACCUAGAGCGUACACGCUGAUACCCGAAAGAUGGUGAACUAUGCCUGGCCAGGACGAAGCCAGGGGAAACCCUGGUGGAGGUCCGCAGCGAUUCUGACGUGCAAAUCGAUCGUCGGAGCUGGGUAUAGGGGCGAAAGACCAAUCGAACCAUCUAGUAGCUGGUUCCCUCUGAAGUUUCCCUCAGGAUAGCUUGCGCUCGGUUGAAACGAGUCUCAUCCGGUAGAGCGAAUGAUUAGAGGCAUUGGGGUCGAAACGACCUCAACCUAUUCUCAAACUCCAAAUAGAUGAGAACCCCGGCUUUCUUAAAAGUGAAGCCGUGGGAUUCGGAUCAGAGUGCCAAGUGGGCCAAUUUUGGUAAGCAGAACUGGCGCU
rnacentral:rRNA from 1 species